UGGGGAAUCUUGCACAAUGGGGGCAACCCUGAUGCAGCGACGCCGCGUGAGCGAUGAAGCCCUUCGGGGCGUAAAGCUCUUUCGACCGGAACGAUAAUGACGGUACCGGGAGAAGAAGCCGCGGCUAACUACGUGCCAGCAGCCGCGGUAAUACGUAGGCAGCAAGCGUUGUUCGGAGUUACUGGGCGUAAAGCGUGCGCAGGCGGUUUUGUAAGACAGAUGUGAAAUCCCCGGGCUUAACCUGGGAACUGCGUUUGUGACUGCAAGGCUGGAUUACGGCAGAGGGGGGUGGAAUUCCACGUGUAGCAGUGAAAUGCGUAGAGAUGUGGAGGAACACCGAUGGCGAAGGCAGCCCCCUGGGCCUGUACUGACGCUCAUGCACGAAAGCGUGGGGAGCAAACA
rnacentral:rRNA from 1 species